ACUUAAUCCUAUGGCAUUCCCCUAGUAACUGCGAGUGAAGCGGGAAAAGCUCAAAUUUGAAAUCUGGCGGUCCUUGGCCGUCCGAGUUGUAAUCUAAAGAAGUGUUGCCCGCGCUGGACCGUGUACAAGUCUCCUGGAAUGGAGCGUCAUAGAGGGUGAGAAUCCCGUCUCUGACACGGACUACCAGUGCUUUGUGGUAUGCUCUCCCUGAGUCGAGUUGUUUGGGAAUGCACCUCAAAAUGGGUGGUAAAUUCCAUCUAAAGCUAAAUAUUGGCGAGAGACCGAUACCGAACAAGUACCGUGAGGGAAAGAUGAAAAGAACUUUGGAAAGAGAGUUAAACAGUACGUGAAAUUGCUGAAAGGGAAACGCUUGAAGUCAGUCGCGUUGGCCAGGAAUCAGCCUUGCAUUGUUGGUUGUACUUUCUGGUUGACGGGUCAGCAUCAAUUUUGACCGCUGUAAAAAUGCUUGGGAGAUGAUGCAGCUUCCGCUGAGUUAUAACCCCUUGUCCAUACAGCGGUUGAGAUUGUGGAACUCAUCACCCCGCCCGGCCGGGUUUCGAUCACCUCCGUGCUUAGGAUGGUGGCUUAAUGGCUUUAAGCAACCCGUCUUGAAACACGCACCAAGGAGACAAACAUGCCUGCCAGUGUUUGGUGUGGAAAACCCAACCGCGCAAUGAAAGAAAAGUUGAGAUCCCUUGUCCUGUGGAGCAUCGACCCCCCGGACCAAAACUUAUUCGGGAUGGAUCCGCUGUAGAUAUGUAUUGUUUGACCCGAAAGAUGUUGAUACUAUGCUCUGAAUA
rnacentral:rRNA from 1 species